GACGAACGCUGGCGGCGUGCUUAAUACAUGCAAGUCGAGCGAACGGACGAAAAGUUUGCUCUUCUGAAGUUAUUGGUUGCGGGGUGAUUAACACGUGGAGAAUCACGCUUUAACACCGUGAUAACUACGAGAAACCGGCGCUAAUACCGCAGAAUAUUUACAACCGCACGGUUCAACAGUGCAAGACGGUCUUGCCGACACUACUAGAUGGAUCCGCGCUGCAUCAGCUCGUUGGCAAGGUAACGGCUUAACAAGGCAGCGAUGGAAAGCCGACCUGAGAGUGUGGUCGGCCACACGGGAAGUGAGGCACGGUCCAGACUCCUGAGGGGGGCAGCGGUAGAGAAUCUUACGCGAUGGGGGAGAGGCUGACGGAGCAACGCCGCGGGAGUAAUGAAGGACUUCGGAUCGUAGAGCUCUGUUAUUAGGGGAGACCAUAUGUGUAGGUAAAUGUGCACAACUUGACGGUACCUUAUGAGAAAGCCACGGCUAACUACGUG
rnacentral:rRNA from 1 species